GAUUGAAGAACGCAGCGAAAUGCGAUAAGUAAUGUGAAUUGCAGAAUUCAGUGAAUCAUCGAAUCUUUGAACGCACCUUGCACCCUUUGGCAUUCCGAAGGGUAUGCUCGUUUGAGUGUCAUUGUACUCUCACUCUCCCGAUGCUUUUGGAUGGGGAGUGGUGGACUUGGGUGUUGCUGCUUUGCUGUGGCUCGCCUCAAAUGGAGUAGUGCAACUCUUGGUUGGACAUAGUACGGCGUGAUAAGUGUCUUCGCCGGCGCCUCAUUAUAGAGGGUGGCCGAUCGGGAGCUCUGUGCUUCAAACCGUCUUCGGACAACAUCUGACAACUUGACCUCAAAUCGAGUAGGACUACCCGCUGAACUUAAGCAUAUCAAUAAGCGGAGGA
rnacentral:misc_RNA from 1 species